CAGAGAAACUCGCCUGCAAGGGUGACUCUCCAACCCUAUGUUUAUUAUACCUUUGUUGCUUUGGCGAGCCGCCUCGGCCACCGGCUCACGCUGGUGAGUGCUCGCCAGAGGACCCUCAACUCUGUUUAUACAUGUCGUCUGAGUACUAUAUAAUAGUUA
rnacentral:misc_RNA from 1 species